rnacentral:tRNA from 1 species
AAAAGAGAGUGUAACAAUAGAACUGCUAAUUCUAUCUUCCAUAUAUAAAAAUAUGGCUCCCUUG